UACGUAGGGGGCUAGCGUUGUCCGGAAUCAUUGGGCGUAAAGAGCGUGUAGGCGGUCCGGUAAGUCCGCUGUGAAAGUCGGGGGGCUCAACCCUCGAAUGCCGGUGGAUACUGUCGGGCUAGAGUGCGGAAGAGGCGAGUGGAAUUCCUGGUGUAGCGGUGGAAUGCGCAGAUAUCAGGAGGAACACCAAUGGCGAAGGCAGCUCGCUGGGACGGUACUGACGCUAAGGCGCGAAAGCGUGGGGAGCAAACAGG
rnacentral:rRNA from 1 species